rnacentral:rRNA from 1 species
GUCCACGCCCUAAACGAUGUCAACUGGUUGUUUGACGGCUUGCUGUUCAGUAACGAAGCUAACGCGUGAAGUUGACCGCCUGGGGAGUACGGCCGCAAGGUUGAAACUCAAAGGAAUUGAUGGGUACCCCGCACAAGCGGUGGAUGAUGUGGUUUAAUUCGAUGCAACGCGAAAACCUUACCUACCCUUGACAUGUCUGGAAUUUUGCAGAGAUGUGAAAGUGCUCGAAAGAGAGCCAGAACACAGGUGCUGCAUGGCCGUCGU